CGAUGAAGACCUUUAUUAGUUGAGCUGCGUAUGCUGUCUGUGAACAAUUCCACCGGCAGAUCUAAAAGUCAGGACUGUUUUUUAAAUAAUCUAAAUGCACCAUGACUUCACCAUGACAGAUACGAGGAGACAGUGGCGGAGACAGCAGGGACUAGAGGAGGGAGGCGAUGCUUCAGCAGGCACCUUGAAUCUGGCAAACAACAGAGGCUACUCAUAUCCAUAUGUACACAGCCCAGAACUAUCAGAUGGCUCUACUUGAAGCCUUUUUUAUCAUCUGCCAUAUGAAAAUCUAAAUAAAACUUAUUGUUUAGAAAACUAAUAGCCCUCCUCUCUUCAACAAACCACAUAAUUUGACAUACUAUUCAUGUCCAUAGUACAAAAGGUUUCGAAUGAGAUGCACGUCUAUGUGCCACAUUAAAUGUUGUCGUACAUUUUCCAAAUAUAUACUGAGCUUCAGAUAUUUUGUGCCCCCUCCUAUUAUUCACAUCCCAACCCCCAAGCACAAAAGUGAAAAUCUGCCUAUGGCUGUUCCUAAUGUGCACUGCUGCUGUUCCACUUAUGUCUGUCUUUUAUCAGUUCAGAAGAAUAGAUAACCAAUUAAACCCAAGAGAAAUGACAGUCAUUAAGCUCACAAUGCCCCUUCAGCUCUGACAGAUUAAAAAGGUUACCUACAUAAAUAGAUAUUUAAAAAGUUUCUCCUCAUAGUCUUGUAAUUAUAACUUUGCCAUUCAUGUGGUAAUCUUCUUAAGGGGCCUUAUUGAAUUAUAUUAUUUUUAUAAGUCAGUCACAAAAGGGAUGGUGCAAAUCUUGCCAAAGAGUAUCAUCAGGCCCCAGGAGAACCUUAUUCAUUUUAUUUCUUCCAGAUUAAGGGAAUCAUUCUAAGUCACAUUGUCUAACACUCAAUAAACCAAGGUUUUGUGUACCCUAAGAGAUCUUCUUCAAUAAAAACAUUUCAGCGUAAUUAAAAUUAAGACACAGAAAGGCUGUUGUUUUCAAGGGCACAACAGUUAAAUUUGUUAACUCAGGGUCAUUUUUAAUUCUGGGUAGUCAGGGUUCACGAUUUCACACUUUAUAUUUAUAAACCCCGGGUUAUCAUUCUUAUUUGCAUAUUUAUGAGGUCACAACAACAUUGUGACCUGCUUUAAUAAAUGCGGGUCCAAAAUUGUAUUCAAACGUUACUACGACAGUAUACCAAUGUAAAUUGUUUGUAUAAAUCUGCUUUUAUAUUUCAAAUGGUUAAAAAAAAGAGAUUGUGAAUUACUUUAAAAACAGUAACAGACCCUUUAAAUUUAAGCUGGUGUUUCUUGUCCAAUAUUUCAUGACUGGAAAUAACCAGCCAAGACUCUCACACACAUUCCUAGGCUAUGUGAAGUUUUAGCCCCCCAAAAUAGCCUUACCUAGACCAAGAGCAAAAGACUACAUAAUACCGUUUCACUGCAGACAUUAUAGAUAAGGAAUCGAUUCAAAGUUCUGUAAAUGGAAAUGGGCUUGGAAAACUAUAUUUUACUGAAGACAAUUCAACUUUGUGUCCUCAAAAUAAGAUUUGUCUUAUUGCUUUUGGAAGGCUUUACUGUAGAUUUGCAACAGAAUUGUAUUCCAUUUUAAAAACACAUGGCCAUCCUUUUCUCAUUUCUUAAUCAUUUAUUUUAUGGUAGUAUGGUAUUCUUUGGUAUAGUGGAGUAUUAUGAAACCUGUCAAGAACAUGUACUGUUCAUUACCAUUCAAAAGUUUAGCUUUAGUAAGAUUUAUUUUAGUUUUUUUAUUCAGCAUGGAUGCAUUAAAUUGAUCGAAAGUGACAGUAAAGAAUAAAUGCUGCUCUUUUGGGAUUAUUUAUAUUAUGAAAAAUAUAAGACAUGACGAUUUUCAUGUAUUUCAGUAACAAGAACAAGAUUUGUUUUGGAUUACAGAAAUGAGAAUUUUAAGGGUCCUUGGUUUUCUACAUGAUUGGUUAUUUUUGUUUGAGGUGACAUAUGUAUCAGGCAUUUCUUCAUGAGAUUUACCCUACUAAAGCAGUGCUGGAAUAAAUGUUCCUAAAACCGUUCUUUUUCCAGAGUGCACUUCUACAACCAUAAGACUUGAAUAACGGUGGUCAGGUCACUCCUGUGCUGCCAAAAAAGCUGCCAGCUCCACUCAUGCCAACCUCCAAGGCUCUGCUCCAGGACUGGCUCUGGCACUGUGACUGGCGCAGUCAGGGAGACACUAUGCCUCAGUUCACACAAUUACACACACAACUUUUCACACCACGCCCCCACUCCAGAUUUUCUGUGCAUUUGCACCAUUAGCUUGGUUAGUGUGAAUUUCUCACCAAACAUUAGGUAGGCGAUGGUUGUAUAAAAUCAACAGGACAGGUUUCCCCACAGGAGAGCUUUGCAGGCAGGAAAGCAAGAGCAUUUAGGGUUAAUUGAUUCUCUAUAUCCUUUCAGAUGAUCAGUCACAUCAAAUCCAAGCUGAAUGACACAUUCUCCAUCUUUUCCUCUCUUUCAGCCUGCUGUGCUUUCAGCAACAUUCCUCUAUGACUCACCCUUGAGUCUGCCAGCCGCCCAAUCAAAUCUCUCUGUGCCGUUCGGGGCCCCCACCUGACAAGCAGCCAAAUUUAUUUAAAAAACAGCUUGCUGUUGGGUGUAUCCUGCCUGCUGAAGGCCAGGGAAGCCAGACUCACAGCCUCCAAAGAAUUAUGGGAAAAAUUCCUUCAGAUGUCUGUGUUGGUGUGUCGGUCUGUGCUUAAUAAUAAUAAAUGCUAAUAUUGAAGGUUUUGAUAUUUUUGCUUUGGUUGGUUUAAUUACAUCUGCCCAUAAAUAUUUUGAACAGAGGGAUGAUCAAAGAGAUUAACAAAUGUGGAAAAUGAAUCAUACACCGAAGCUAGUUUUUUUUUGCAGA